rnacentral:rRNA from 1 species
ACGUAGGGGGCAAGCGUUGAUCGGAAUCACUGGGCUUACAGCGCGUGUAGGCGGGGCGGCAGGUCUUCCGUGAAAGCCCCCGGCUCAACCGGGGAAUUGCAGGUGAGACCGCCGCUCUUGAGGCAGGUAGAGGUGACCGGAACGUGUGGUGGAGCGGUGAAAUGCGUAGAUAUCACGAGGAACGCCGAUGGUGAAGGCGGGUCACUGGGCCUGUACUGACGCUGAGACGCGAGAGCGUGGGGAGCAAACAG